AAAAAAAAAAAAAAAAAAAAAAACCUAUAACCCUAUAAUGUUAUUUAUUUAUGUCAUAAAAAAAAUAAAUCAUACCCUUAAUUCUCAUAUUUACUAGUAGGACAAAAUGUUUUUUUGCCCCCUCAACUAUUACGUGUGUAGACUCAUACCCUUGAAUUUUUUUGUUUGGCAAAAAUCCCCCCGAUCUAUGAUAAACAAUGAGAAGUCCUCCUUCCGUCUCGUUCUGUCUAAAAUAUUAACGAUUUCAAUUAUGUAGGUGAGAAAACUGAUGGUUGUUGAAAUUAUUAAUACCCUUGACAUAUAAGUGGUGCCUUUUCAUCAUCUUAUUCUUCAUGCUCCAAAUCCUAAUUUCUUUCUAUUAUUCUGCAACUUAUUUAUUUUUUUAAAAAAAUUACUUUCUUUGUGUCGUUCAUUUGUCCCUAAAUAUUAGUGAGCAUCAUGUCUUUAUUUUCUUCUUCAAGCAAAUCAGUAUCAAAUAGAAAAUAUGAAGAUCAACUUUGGAAUAAUAAUCCUAUCUGUGAUUGUGGGUGUGUGACAGUUAUACGUACAUCUCGAACUAAAGAUAAUCCAGGUAGAAAAUUUUAUGGAUGUCCUAGAUACAAGAGAAAUGUUGAUAAAGGUUGUGCUUUUCUCAUUUGGAUAGACACUACUCAACAAGGAUUCAGUCAAAAUUUAAAUGGUUUGAUUACAAGGUUAGAAGAAAUUGAAGAUGUUGUUAGAGAGCUGCAGAAGGUUAUUCAAAAAAAAUGAAGAUAUUGCAAGCAUUUUGAAUUUUAUGAAACUUGUAAAAAUUGGAAUUUGUAUAUUGGUUCUUUUUUAUUUUUUGUAUUGUUUAAGUUAUCAUAAAAUCAAGACAAGUAUGAUUAUGACUAUAAGUUAUUUCUAAUGUAUUUUAGUUUUAUUUUAAUGAUAAACAUGAGUUGUGAGUU